UCCAAUCCUUCAAUAGUGGGUGAUUUCUCACACAGCCUGUACAUUCCUGUUUAGAAGGUGACAGGCAGAAGUCACACUUUGGGGGCAGAGUGUGGCCCGAUCAUCCUGAAAAGAAGGGUCGUCUCUUCUUUAGCAAGCUCCAGAUACCAGCACUAUGGGAAAGAGGAAGAAUUUAAUGAAAGCUUGUACCUGCUGGCUGAAACUAAGCAGCCUAUUUAUAAACUGCUCUGAAAUGCCAGGGAGCAGGUAACUCCUAAAUGAAAAAGCAAGCAGGUCUCUCCUACCGGAUGGCUGAGCUGUCUGCGGUGCCUUUGCAUCUUGCUGCUUCACUGACCCUGAAGGUCUGCCCCAGCCUCAGGUGACCAAGCCUACAGUGACCUCAAGGAGCAGCUGCCUUAUCAAUGCUUAUAGGAGGCUCAGGGUGGAGAAGGGUCUGAUGCCACCAUUUUGUUCCCUUCUUUUGUCUUUUUUUGACUUCCCUAGGAAAGGGAAAAGGUGCUAUGAAGUUAGAAGAGGAAUGAAGGAAGAAGAGAGCAUGGAAGGUCUUCUAAAAUGGGUUUCUCAAAAGCCACAUAAUGCUUCUCAAAUUCACAUUAAUCUAAUACUUCUGCACUGUCUCUUCCCUCACUCCAGCCGCAACCACGGAGUGAAGCCCAGCAGUGUGGGAAUGUGCUCGCAAACCCUGCAUAGACCCGUGGCCGCGAGUGGAUGCACUCAACAGCAGCCAGCUAUAUUUCAGUUCCUGCUACUUGUAUCUGUCUUUAGCAUCCUCCUACAACAAGCAACACAGAUAAAUAAAUCCCCAGACCUCACCUUGGCACUGGUUCCAGCUCCUCCCUUCUCCUCCUUCAGCAGCCAUUAUCAUAAAUCACAUUCUUUGAUAUGUUUUUCUCAAUUUGUCUCCCUCCCUCAGACUGCCUUUUAGUAAAAGUUCAUAAAGCAAAACAGAAUUUACUAAAAAUAGGUUACUGGGAAGGUGAGCAAUACAACUUCUGAAAAAAAAAUGUAAACCAGUGUAUAUUUGGGGAUUUAGCAAAGUGAACUGAUAAACUAGGACAUUCAAACCUAUUACGCCAAUAUUUCCUCUGGCAAGAGACUGCUUGCUGGCUUUGCAUGUAGUUUCACUUCAGGACUUAAUUCCUUGUUUCUUUUAAAAAAAAGACAACUGGAAGAAAAUUUUCCAUUAGCUGUAUUUUACUAGGAUCCAGAGACAAAGCUCAGCUAAUGCAUAUUACAAUAUAUAAUUAAGCAUAAUUACAUAAAAUAUUAAAACACUGUAAGUUAUUAGAAAUAGUGAAAUUUGUUGCAUAAAGUCAUUGCAUGAAUUACUCGGGUGCUGGUCAGACCCUAAUCAGAAAGAGCAAAGAGCUGCCCGAGAUGGCGGAGAUUUCACUUGUUAGGACACUGUAGUCCAUUAGCAAAUCAGUGAACUUGGGAGCGAGGUGGUUUUCCAUUUAAGCUGCAGCAUCACAGAAAGUUACCCUCUAAAGUCAUUCUUAGAUGAAUACUUCUAUGUCAUACACAGCUAAAUUCCAACAGUCAUAACAAUUAUUCUAGGCUAAUUAAAAUACAAAUAAAAUGUUAGGCUAUGUGAUAACAGAUAAUGCGAUAAAAACAAUUCUACGAUUGUUGGAGGGGCCCUGUAUGAUAUAUUCAGUUCUUGCUCAUCUCUUCCAAAUCUUUGUUUCUUUAAAUAGAAAACGUAAAUUAUAUUUAGCUUAAGUCUAUGUUUGAAUUUAAAUCACUAAAAAAAUCUACUUUCUAUAAAGCAUUUUGGAGCAAUCUUGCAUAUAAUACUCAUCUGCUUAGCUAACUCUUUUUUCUGUAGAUAAGUAAGGUAAAUGUUAGUCCACUAGACAAAAUUAUCAUACAUCUUCAAUCACCAAUGUCCAGAGUAAUGAGUCAAUAUAUGUAUGUAUGUAUGUAUGUAUGUAUGUAUGUAUAUGCAUUAAAAAAAUCACUUUUUUGACACAUUUCACUUUUCUUCAUAAGUAAUAUAGGUGGGCUAGAUCAGGGGCUGUCAAGUCAGAUUAGAGCAAUCUGAGGAGAUAUGGGCAUCUAGUGACGCCUAUACUAAUUAAAUGAGAGUUUCUAGGGUGUGGACGGAAAGUGGGAACUGGUGGUUUUACAAGGUCCCUGUCACCAGGGUUGAGACGCCAUAGCUUACAGUCCUGUAACUCGUCCUUACCACCAGUUCAUUCUCUUCUCUCCUUCUGUGAGGAGCGCGUCUAUACCAACACCCUGAAGGUAGCUAGAAAGGGGCAGACUCCACCAAGUCAUCCAGUGGUGCACCUUUGAGGACUUCCGGCUACUCGCAUAGGUUCUAUGAGGCCAAUAAGGAGACAGUAAGGUGGGGGCCUGUGGGGAACUGGAGGCUACAUGACCCACUUCUAGGAGAUCCCCCAGCUCUAGCCCACUGUGCCAUCAGGAAUGUGGGCCCAGGGCUGCCUGGUUUUCAAGAGAAGCUAGAAAUCUGCUUUCUAUGUGAAAACCUCUUGAUUUUUAAAUGCGUGCAAUGAAUUAAAAAUUUACCAAAACUGUGUUGUCCAAACAAUCACGUAUGUGACCAAAUAUGGCCUACAAAAUACUAAUUUACUACCUCUGAACUAGCACAAUAUCCUGAA